UGGGGAAUAUUGCACAAUGGGCGGAAGCCUGAUGCAGCAACGCCGCGUGAGUGAUGAAGGCCUUCGGGUUGUAAAGCUCUGUCUUUUGGGACGAUAAUGACGGUACCAAAGGAGGAAGCCACGGCUAACUACGUGCCAGCAGCCGCGGUAAUACGUAGGUGGCAAGCGUUGUCCGGAUUUACUGGGCGUAAAGGAUGCGUAGGCGGAUUUUUAAGUGAGAUGUGAAAACCCUAAGCUUAACUUGGGGACUGCAUUUCAUACUGGAAAUCUAGAGUGCGGAGAGGAGAAUGGAAUUCCUAGUGUAGCGGUGAAAUGCGUAGAGAUUAGGAAGAACACCAGUGGCGAAGGCGAUUCUCUGGACCGUAACUGACGCUGAGGCAUGAAAGCGUGGGUAGCAAAACAGGAUUAGAUACCCUGGUAGUCCACGCCGUAAACGAUGAGUACUAGGUGUAGGAGGUAUCGACCCCUUCUGUGCCGCAGUUAACACAAUAAGUACUCCGCCUGGGAAGUACGAUCGCAAGAUUAAAAACUC
rnacentral:rRNA from 1 species